rnacentral:SRP_RNA from 10 species
AUUGUGGUGGUGGGCACCUUGUAAUCAGCUACUCAGGAGGUUGAGGUGGAAGGAUCACUUGAGUCCAGAAGUUCUGGGCUGUAGUGCUCUAUGCUUAUAGUGUGUCCACACUAAGUUGGGCAUCAAUAUGGCGACCUACUGGGAGCUGGGGGACCACCAGGUUGUCUAAGGAGAGAUGAACCAGCCCAAGUCCGAAACAGAGCAGGUCAGAACUCUGGUGCUGAUCAGUAGCAGGAUGGUUCUGUGAAUAGCCACUGCACUCCAGACUGCGCAACUUAGCAAGACUCUGUCU